AGUUUGAUCUUGGNUCAGGACGAACGCUGGCGGCGUGCCUAAUACAUGCAAGUAGAACGCUGAAGAGAGGAGCUUGCUCUUCUUGAAUGAGUUGCGAACGGGUGAGUAACGCGUAGGUAACCUGCCUUGUAGCGGGGGAUAACUAUUGGAAACGAUAGCUAAUACCGCAUAACAAUGGGUGACACAUGUCAUUUAUUUGAAAGGGGCAAUUGCUCCACUACAAGAUGGACCUGCGUUGUAUUAGCUAGUAGGUGAGGUAACGGCUCACCUAGGCGACGAUACAUAGCCGACCUGAGAGGGUGAUCGGCCACACUGGGACUGAGACACGGCCCAGACUCCUACGGGAGGCAGCAGUAGGGAAUCUUCGGCAAUGGGGGCAACCCUGACCGAGCAACGCCGCGUGAGUGAAGAAGGUUUUCGGAUCGUAAAGCUCUGUUGUAAGUCAAGAAUGAGUGUGAGAGUGGAAAGUUCACACUGUGACGGUAGCUUACCAGAAAGGGACGGCUAACUACGUGCCAGCAGCCGCGGUAAUACGUAGGUCCCGAGCGUUGUCCGGAUUUAUUGGGCGUAAAGCGAGCGCAGGCGGUUUGAUAAGUCUGAAGUUAAAGGCUGUGGCUCAACCAUAGUUCGCUUUGGAAACUGUCAAACUUGAGUGCAGAAGGGGAGAGUGGAAUUCCAUGUGUAGCGGUGAAAUGCGUAGAUAUAUGGAGGAACACCGGUGGCGAAAGCGGCUCUCUGGUCUGUAACUGACGCUGAGGCUCGAAAGCGUGGGGAGCGAACAGGAUUAGAUACCCUGGUAGUCCACGCCGUAAACGAUGAGUGCUAGGUGUUGGAUCCUUUCCGGGAUUCAGUGCCGCAGCUAACGCAUAAGCACUCCGCCUGGGGGAGU
rnacentral:rRNA from 1 species